rnacentral:rRNA from 1 species
UAUUCCUAGCCCGAGGUUUAAGUUGGGGNGACUACGGAGUAAAACAAACCCUCCAUGAGCCCAUGGGCUAACCCCCACUACCAGGCGCACACGCCAACAAGACACCUAACAUGACCCAGUAUAACUGAUCAUCGAACCAAGUUACCCCAGGGAUAACAGCGCCAUCCCCCCAUAGAGUCCACAUCAACGGGGGGGUUUACGACCUCGAUGUUGGAUCAGGACACCCCGGCGGUGCAGCAGCUGCCAAAGGCCCGU